UUUUCUGUUUUCAGUUAAGGGUUUGCAAAAGGUUUCAUUUAACUCUCUGCAGCUUCUUGGUGAAGCCUCGGGAAGGAGGAUGACUUUAUCUGCUUUGGGGAUGUUGUCACUGGGAAGUGUCAUCUGCAGAAGUCAUGUUCAUUGGGCGUGCCUGCCCAGCGUCUCACGGCUGUGCUUUCUCUUCUGUUGCAGUGCGCUAAUCUUGGGGGCGUCAGGUGGAGUUGGUACUUUUGCGAUACAGGUAAUGAAGGCGUGGGGCGCUCAUGUGACGGCAGUUUGCUCGAAAGACGCCAGUGAGCUUGUGAGGAAGCUUGGGGCAGACGAAGUCAUCGAUUACACGAUGGGCAGUGUGGAGGAGCAGCUGAAAUCUCUAAAACUGUUUGACUUCAUCCUUGAUAAUGUAGGUGGAUCGACUGAAACAUGGGCUCUAAAUUUUCUCAAGAA
rnacentral:lncRNA from 1 species